rnacentral:rRNA from 1 species
GACGAACGCUGGCGGCGUGCCUAAUACAUGCAAGUAGAACGCUGAAGGAGGAGCUUGCUUCUCUGGAUGAGUUGCGAACGGGUGAGUAACGCGUAGGUAACCUGCCUGGUAGCGGGGGAUAACUAUUGGAAACGAUAGCUAAUACCGCAUAAGAGUAGAUGUUGCAUGACAUUUGCUUAAAAGGUGCAAUUGCAUCACUACCAGAUGGACCUGCGUUGUAUUAGCUAGUUGGUGAGGUAACGGCUCACCAAGGCAACGAUACAUAGCCGACCUGAGAGGGGGAGCGGGCACACUGGGACUGAGAAACGGCCCAGACUCCUACGGGAGGCAGCAGUAGGGAAUCUUCGGCAAUGGACGGAAGUCUGACCGAGCAACGCCGCGUGAGGGAAGAAGGUUUUCGGAUCGUAAAGCUCUGUUGUAAGAGAAGAACGAGUGUGAGAGUGGAAAGUUCACACUGUGACGGUAUCUUACCAGAAAGGGACGGCUAACUACGUG